rnacentral:rRNA from 1 species
CAGCAGCCGCCGCGGGAAUACGUAGGGUGCAAGCGUUAAUCGGAAUUACUGGGCGUAAGGCGUGCGCAGGCGGUUCUAUAAGACAGAUGUGAAAUCCCCGGGCUCAACCUGGGAACUGCAUUUGUGACUGUAGAGCUGGAGUGCGGCAGAGGGGGAUGGAAUUCCGCGUGUAGCAGUGAAAUGCGUAGAUAUGCGGAGGAACACCGAUGGCGAAGGCAAUCCCCUGGGCCUGCACUGACGCUCAUGCACGAAAGCGUGGGGAGCAAACAGGAUUAGAUACCCCAGUAGUCCCUGUCUCUUAUAC